AAUGUACUCCCUCCGUUCCUAAAUAUAAGUCUUUUAAGAGGUUCCACUAGGAGAUUACAUACGGAUAUAUAGACAUAUUUUAAGGUAUAGAUUCACUCAUUUUGCUCCGUAUGUAGUCUCCUAGUGAAAUCUCUAAAAAGACUUAUAUUUAGGAACGGAGGGAGUAAUAU
rnacentral:pre_miRNA from 1 species